rnacentral:rRNA from 1 species
GAAGAUGUAUAAAAAUUAGGUAGUAGUGGUGGACUUGAAACUUAAAAAAUUUGGCGGUGUUUUAAUCUAAUCAGAGGAACCUGUUUUAUAAUCGACAUUACUCGUUAUAUCUUACUUGGAAUAAAAGCUUGUAUAUCGUUGUAGUAAUAAUGCUUAUUAGAAAUUAUUAAAUGGAAUUUUAUUUUUCACAUCAGAUCAAGGUUCAGUUUAUAUCCAAGGAACAAAUGGGUUACAAUAUAGGAAUAUAUUAUGAAUUUUAUUUUGAAAAAGUAAAUGAAGGUGGAUUUGAAAGUAUUUUUAUUAUAAUGUGUUAAAUUGAAGUAGCUCUAAAACAUGC